UACGUAGGCAGCGAGCGUUGUUCGGAGUUACUGGGCGUAAAGGGUGUGUAGGCGGUUCUUUAAGUUUAGUGUGAAAUCUCCCGGCUCAACCGGGAGGGUGCGCUGAAUACUGAGGGACUAGAGUACGGGAGAGGAAAGUGGAAUUCCUGGUGUAGCGGUGAAAUGCGUAGAUAUCAGGAGGAACACCGGUGGUGUAGACGGCUUUCUGGACCGUAACUGACGCUGAGACACGAAAGCGUGGGGAGCGAACAGG
rnacentral:rRNA from 1 species